rnacentral:rRNA from 1 species
AUGGACGAUGUGACGCCGCCCCUGCCGGAGCCGCCGGCAAGGGACUGGUCGCUGCUGCCCCUCGAUGUGCUCUCCUUGAUCUUCGUCAGGCUCGGCGCUGUUGAGGUCCUCAUGGGCGCCGGCCUCGUGUGCCGCUGGUGGCUCCAGGCGCCGAAGUUGCCAGAGGUGUAUCGAGCCGUGGACACGGAGAACGACGAUAUCGCGUGGAUGGAUGCAGCUGUCCUGCGCGCGAUGGCGAGGGCGGCCGUCGACCGUUCCGACGGACAGCUUCGGGUGUUCGCAGGGAGGCUGUUUGUCAACGAUGGGCUCAUGAAAUAUAUCGUGGAAAGGUCGCCCUUACUCACUACCCUUCGGCUUGAAUACUGCUUCUUCGACGUCUUCGGAACACGACUCAUAAAUGUGAUAAGAGAGUCACCUCUGCUGCAGCUGCGUUCCCUUGAGGAGACUUACCUCGAGGUGGAAGAACUGACCGACGUCCUUGAGAGCUGCCCUCUGCUGGAAGUUCUUCAGGUGAACAAUUGCUUCAAGAUCUAUGAUGACGAGGAGAGCCUCCUGCGAGCAAAAUUUGCCAGGAUCAAGACCAUGACGGUUCGGUGUGAUGUUGAUUUCAACUACCCUACUGACUUCGAGAGUGAAGACUUUGACUUUGCUUCUGAUUCUGAAUUUUUCCAGUGA